rnacentral:rRNA from 1 species
CCUACGGGUGGCUGCAGUGGGGGAUAUUGCACAAUGGGGGAAACCCUGAUGCAGCGACGCCGCGUGGGUGAAGAAGUAUCUCGGUAUGUAAAGCCCUAUCAGUAGGGAAGAAAGACGACGGUACCUGACUAAGAAGCCCCUGCUAACUACGUGCCAGCAGCCGCGGUAAUACGUAGGGGGCGCGCGUUUACCGGAUUCACGGGGGUGAAAGGGAGCGUAUACGGGCGUGCAAGCCAGGGGUGAAAGCCCGGGGCCCAACCCCGGGACUGCUAUUGGAACUGGGAGGCUAGAGUGCGGGAGGGGCAGGCGGAAUUCGUGGUGUAGCGGUGAAAUGCGUAGAUAUCAGGAGGAACACCGAUGGCGAAGGCAGCCUGCUGGACCGCGACUGACGUUGAGGCUCGAAAGCGUGGGGAGCGAACAGGAUUAGAUACCCGAGUAGUC